rnacentral:tRNA from 191 species
GGAGAGGUGCCCGAGUGGUUAAAGGGGACGGACUGUAAAUCCGUUAGCUUAGCUUACGUUGGUUCGAAUCCAACCCUCUCCACCA